GGGGCGAGUGUCCUUAAUCUUCUUCCGAUCGUCCUGUCUGUCCCCGCUCUGCCGGCGGCCUGGGACGGGUCGGCACCCCUUCCUCGCUUGCAGAUUUUGUUUUGCUUCAGCUUAAAGGACAUCCCAGCAUUUUGGGAGAGAUCGAGAAAUCCCGUUGGGAAUCCUCGGAAGAACGCCUUUGAGGUGGUUAGAUCUUCAGCUCAUUCCGCUGAAGAUCUGUAGGGAUCGUUAUCGGGAUCGGCGUUUUUUUGAAUCAGUGCCACCCAAAUUGAUUGACCCAGUGAAUCUGCAAGGAAAGGUCUCUGAGGCCCCCGUCUGCUGACUGUAUGACAACCCCUAAAGGAAAUGCCAGUCGUGAUGGCCCGGGACCUGGAGGAAACAGCAUCAUCCUCAGAGGAUGAGGAGGUGGUAAGCCAAGAGGAUCAUCCAUGUAUCAUGUGGACUGGAGGCUGCAGGAGAAUUCCAGUUUUGGUGUUCCAUGCUGAUGCUGUU